rnacentral:rRNA from 1 species
AGCUAGAUGCUUUAAUAUUUAGUAAUUUCUGCCCACUGAAUUUUUAAUGGCCGCAGUAAUUUGACUGUGCUAAGGUAGCAUAAUCAAUUGGCUUUUAAUUGGAGUCUAGAAUGAAUGAAAAACUGUGGGGUACCUGUCUCUCUCAAAUUAUAUUGAAUUUAAUAAUAAGGUGAAAAUUCCUUAACAAAUAAAAAAGACGAGAAGACCCUUAGAGUUUUUUUGUUGGGGUGACAAAUGAGCUAACCUUAUUUAUAGAAAAGAUAAACUACCUUAGGGAUAACAGCAUAAUUUAUUAUUAAGAUUGUGACCUCGAUGUUGGACUAGGAAAUUUAUAAUUAGAAAUUAAAAUAAAUCGUUCUGUUCGAACUCAUUCUCCU